UAGAAGGCGCUGCGGCAUUCUUGGUUCCCCUCCUGCUUGUGACAGUUGCGUGCUGCGUGCUUAUCCGGCGUUGGAGGCAGAAAAAUCAGCGCCUCGCCGCAGCCCAGGCAGCCCAGACUGACACCCGCAGCCGCUCUGUGAGCCCGUACAGGCAGCCUGACCACCGUGGUAUGCCUGAGAGCCGGGCCCGACGCCAGCGGCCACCAUCAGUGCCUGGAAGACCGGCCCGCCUGCCACCAGCCCGGCCUCCACGGCCCCCACGCCCGGCACCAGAUCAAUGGAAGGCGCACGACCGGCCCAGCACCCCCCAGUCCUCGUGGGCACAGACGCCGCCCCCACGGCCCCCCCCACCCUCCUCCAAGGGCUGGGGCAGGCCCCCCCAGGGUGCAGCCUGGGGCAAUUACUGACCCCCGGGCUGCAGCUUAAAUAAAUAUUGUAUAAUACA